rnacentral:rRNA from 2 species
UGACGAGUGGCGGACGGGUGAGUAAUGUCUGGGAAACUGCCUGAUGGAGGGGGAUAACUACUGGAAACGGUGGCUAAUACCGCAUAACGUCGCAAGACCAAAGAGGGGGACCUUCGGGCCUCUUGCCAUCAGAUGUGCCCAGAUGGGAUUAGCUAGUUGGUGAGGUAACGGCUCACCAAGGCGACGAUCCCUAGCUGGUCUGAGAGGAUGACCAGCCACACUGGAACUGAGACACGGUCCAGACUCCUACGGGAGGCAGCAGUGGGGAAUAUUGCACAAUGGGCGCAAGCCUGAUGCAGCCAUGCCGCGUGUAUGAAGAAGGCCUUCGGGUUGUAAAGUACUUUCAGCGGGGAGGAAGGUGUUGUGGUUAAUAACCGCAGCAAUUGACGUUACCCGCAGAAGAAGCACCGGCUAACUCCGUGCCAGCAGCCGCGGUAAUACGGAGGGUGCAAGCGUUAAUCGGAAUUACUGGGCGUAAAGCGCACGCAGGCGGUCUGUCAAGUCGGAUGUGAAAUCCCCGGGCUCAACCUGGGAACUGCAUUCGAAACUGGCAGGCUUGAGUCUUGUAGAGGGGGGUAGAAUUCCAGGUGUAGCGGUGAAAUGCGUAGAGAUCUGGAGGAAUACCGGUGGCGAAGGCGGCCCCCUGGACAAAGACUGACGCUCAGGUGCGAAAGCGUGGGGAGCAAACAGGAUUAGAUACCCUGGUAGUCCACGCCGUAAACGAUGUCUACUUGGAGGUUGUGCCCUUGAGGCGUGGCUUCCGGAGCUAACGCGUUAAGUAGACCGCCUGGGGAGUACGGCCGCAAGGUUAAAACUCAAAUGAAUUGACGGGGGCCCGCACAAGCGGUGGAGCAUGUGGUUUAAUUCGAUGCAACGCGAAGAACCUUACCUGGUCUUGACAUCCACAGAACUUUCCAGAGAUGGAUUGGUGCCUUCGGGAACUGUGAGACAGGUGCUGCAUGGCUGUCGUCAGCUCGUGUUGUGAAAUGUUGGGUUAAGUCCCGCAACGAGCGCAACCCUUAUCCUUUGUUGCCAGCGGUCCGGCCGGGAACUCAAAGGAGACUGCCAGUGAUAAACUGGAGGAAGGUGGGGAUGACGUCAAGUCAUCAUGGCCCUUACGACCAGGGCUACACACGUGCUACAAUGGCGCAUACAAAGAGAAGCGACCUCGCGAGAGCAAGCGGACCUCAUAAAGUGCGUCGUAGUCCGGAUUGGAGUCUGCAACUCGACUCCAUGAAGUCGGAAUCGCUAGUAAUCGUGGAUCAGAAUGCCACGGUGAAUACGUUCCCGGGCCUUGUACACACCGCCCGUCACACCAUGGGAGUGGGUUGCAAAAGAAGUAGGUAGCUUAACCUUCGGGAGGGCGCUUACCACUUUGUGAUUCAUGACUGGGGUGAAGUCGUAACAAGGUAACCGUAGGGGAACCUGCGGUUGGAUCACCUCCUUACCUUAAAGAA